rnacentral:rRNA from 1 species
UACGGGGGGGGCAAGCGUUGUUCGGAAUCACUGGGCGUAAAGGGCGCGUAGGCGGCUUUAUAAGUCCGCUGUGAAAGUCCAGGGCUCAACCCUGGAAUGCCGGUGGAUACUGUCGGGCUCGAAUCCGGAAGAGGUGAGUGGAAUUCCUGGUGUAGCGGUGAAAUGCGUAGAUAUCUGGAGGAACACCGGUGGCGAAGGCGGCAUCCUGGACCGAGAUUGACGCUGAUGCGCGAAAGCCAGGGGAGCAAACGGG